rnacentral:rRNA from 1 species
GAUCGAUGGCUACGAGGACGACGCUGGCGGCGUGCCUAACACAUGCAAGUCGAGCGAGGAGAUCCUUCGGGAUGAUCCUAGCGGCGGACGGGUGAGUAACACGUGGGCAACCUGCCCCAUAGAGAGGAAUAGCCUUCCGAAAGGGAGAUUAAUACCUCAUAACAUUGCAGUUUCGCAUGGAACAGCAAUUAAAGGAGUAAUCCGCUAUGAGAUGGGCCCGCGGCGCAUUAGCUAGUUGGUGAGGUAACGGCUCACCAAGGCGACGAUGCGUAGCCGACCUGAGAGGGUGAUCGGCCACAUUGGGACUGAGACACGGCCCAGACUCCUACGGGAGGCAGCAGUGGGGAAUAUUGCACAAUGGGGGAAACCCUGAUGCCAGCAACGCCGCGUGAGUGAUGACGGCCUUCGGGUUGUAAAGCUCUGUCUUCAGGGACGAUAAUGACGGUACCUGAGGAGGAAGCCACGGCUAACUACGUGCCAGCCGCCGC